CCUACGGGAGGCAGCAGUGAGGAAUAUUGGUCAAUGGGCGAGAGCCUGAACCAGCCAAGUCGCGUGAAGGAUGACGGCCCUACGGGUUGUAAACUUCUUUUGUCAGGGAGCAAUUGGGUCCACGCGUGGGCUUUGCGAGAGUACCUGAAGAAAAAGCAUCGGCUAACUCCGUGCCAGCUGCCGCGGUUAUACGGGGGAUGCGAGCGUUAUCCGGAUUUAUUGGGUUUAAAGGGUGCGUAGGCGGAAUAUCAAGUCAGCGUGAAAAAUUCGGGGCUCAACCCCGUCGUGCCGUUGAAACUGAUGUUCUUGAGUGGGCGAGAAGUAUGCGGAAUGCGUGGUGUAGCGGUGAAAUGCAUAGAUAUCACGCAGAACUCCGAUUGCGAAGGCAGCAUACCGGCGCCCAACUGACGCUGAAGCACGAAAGCGUGGGUAUCGAACAGGAUUAGAUACCCCUGUAGUC
rnacentral:rRNA from 1 species